rnacentral:rRNA from 1 species
UUUAUUGGAGAGUUUGAUCCUGGCUCAGGAUGAACGCUGGCGGCGUGCCUAAUACAUGCAAGUCGAGCGAACGGAUUAAGAGCUUGCUCUUAUGAAGUUAGCGGCGGACGGGUGAGUAACACGUGGGUAACCUGCCCAUAAGACUGGGAUAACUCCGGGAAACCGGGGCUAAUACCGGAUAACAUUUUGAACCGCAUGGUUCGAAAUUGAAAGG